rnacentral:sRNA from 1 species
AGCAGCCGCGGUAAUUCCAGCUCCAAUAGCGUAUAUUAAAGUUGUUGCAGUUAAAAAGCUCGUAGUUGAAUUUCGGGGUCAGUAGGUCGGUCAUGCCACUGGUAUGUACUGGUCUCACUGAUUCCUCCUUCCUGAUGAACCGUAGUGCCAUUAAUUUGGUGUUGCGGGGAGACUGGACUGUUACUUUGAAAAAUUGAGUGUUUAAAGCAGGCUAACGCUUGAAUACAUUAGCAUGGAAUAACGAAAUAGGACGUUCGAUCUUAUUUUGUUGGUUUCUAAGGUUGACGUAAUGAUUAAUAGGGAUAGUUGGGGGCAUUAGUAUUCAAUUGUCAGAGGUGAAGUUCUUG